rnacentral:lncRNA from 1 species
AGAGGAACUCAGAACAAUAAUACAACUCAUUAAAACCGUCUCUGUUAGUGUUUCCAACAAUCACCAACUCUGGUUUGGUGGAAAUAAAUCCUUAAUUCACCGACGUAGAUGAUAAAAACAGCAGUUUCAGUCGGAGCAGACCGGCUAUGGAAACAAACCACAGAGAGGCUGCGAUACAACACAGGCAGAGGGAGAGAGACACCAUGUGACUCUGUGUCUGUAUAUAGAGAAUAGCUGUUUGCAUUUUAAGAUAAAUAUAUAAAAUAAAUGUGAGGCCUGGUUAUCAUGGAGCUAGUGCAGUAAAAUCAGUCCAAUCUCUUAUUGAGCUUUCUUUCAUUAGUCUUUUUGAAAAAGCGGAAUGUGUUCCUGAGGUUUAUUCUGUCCAAACCAAGAUAACUGAGUAUCAACAUAACUUCUGAGGUCAGAGGUCACAGCGCCAUGGCAACAGGUUGGAUGAAAUAUUCCUGCACCCACAGAUGGAUCAAUGAUAUUUAUCUGCUUUUAGGACUGAGACUCUCCUCAGUGUGUGACUGCAGGAGUCUGACUGAGCUUCUUCUGCCAUCUAGUGGACGUUUGUACACACUGCAGGAGUCAGGGAGAACAGUGAAGCGUCUGCAGCUGAGCUGUACAUGCGAUCGGGUCUGAAGCUGAUAAUCAACCAUCGG